UACGUAGGGUGCAAGCGUUGUCCGGAAUUAUUGGGCGUAAAGAGCUUGUAGGCGGUCCGUCACGUCGGCUGUGAAAUCCCGAGGCUCAACCUCGGGUCUGCAGUCGAUACGGGCAAACUAGAGUAUUGCAGGGGAGACUGGAAUUCCUGGUGUAGCGGUGAAAUGCGCAGAUAUCAGGAGGAACACCGGUGGCGAAGGCGGUUCUCUGGGCAUUACCUGACGCUGAGGAGCGAAAGUGUGGGGAGCGAACAGG
rnacentral:rRNA from 1 species